rnacentral:rRNA from 1 species
GAACGCUGGCGGCAUGCCUUACACAACGCAAGUCGAACGGCAGCACGGGAGCAAUCCUGGUGGCGAGUGGCGAACGGGUGAGUAAUAUAUCGGAACGUGCCCAGUCGUGGGGGAUAACGUAGCGAAAGCUACGCUAAUACCGCAUACGAUCUACGGAUGAAAGCGGGGGAUCGCAAGACCUCGCGCGAUUGGAGCGGCCGAUAUCAGAUUAGGUAGUUGGUGAGGUAAAGGCUCACCAAGGCGACGAUCCGUAACUGGUCUGAGAGGAUGAUCAGUCACACUGGAACUGAGACACGGUCCAGACUCCUACGGGAGGCAGCAGUGGGGAAUAUUGGACAAUGGGCGAAAGCCUGAUCCAGCCAUGCCGCGUGUGUGAAGAAGGUCUUCGGAUUGUAAAGCACUUUAAGUUGGGAGGAAGGGUAGUAACCUAAUACGUUGCUACUUUGACGUUACCGACAGAAUAAGCACCGGCUAACUUCGUG